ensembl:snRNA U2 U2 spliceosomal RNA
AUUGCUUCUUGGCCUUUUGGCUAAGUAGAGCAUCUGUAUAUGUUAGUGUUAAUAUCUGACACAUCAUCUGUUUCAAGGAUAAUAGAGUAAAUGGAUUUUUGGAACAAGGAGAUGGAGUAGAAGCUUGCUCCAUCCACUUCAUACACUGACCUGGUAUGAUACCUCUAGGAAUGGUGUACUAUAC